UCCAGCCCCUCUGCACCACUGCUUUUGAAUGCCACGUCCACGCUGUCCCCAGCUGCUGCAGGAAACCAGGGUAAGAACCCUACCAUGAGCCCCUUGGGCCAGGGAAGGGCUUUUUGUCCAGUAGCUCCUAAGGGAAUUGGGCUCAGGGCCAACAGUCUUAACACCGAGGGCAAGCGCUGUGCCCUCUUUGCCCCUCUGGGAUUUCCUCUGCUUGGCAAUGCCACACUGGCCUUUGCACAGACCUCAGACACCCCUAGAGUCCCUGGCUGUUACAAGGUGGCUUCUGUGACCAAAUGGUGCUAGUGGCAGCCCCAGAUGUGUUGGGAUGGGGGUCCCAGGCGUAGGUUCCUCUCUUAGCAACACCAGCCUGUACUCAGCCUUCAUCCUGCCAUUCCCCCCAGCACCUCCUCCAGCCCUUCCUGGGUUUGUACCAGCCCUACAAUCCUGAUGCAAACCCCUACCUUCAAAUAAAGCCCCCUCGGCCCGGUGCCAAAGGUUAAAAUACCAUCUUUAUUUUCCAUCAGAGUCAGGACUGGUUGCCAGAACAGCCACUAGUGUGAACUUUGAGGCCACCCCAGGCAAGGGGAGCCUCAGUGUCUCAGGCCUUCCAGCCAGGCCAGUGGGUCCCUCCAUGUACAAAAGGGUGUAUUUAAAAAGACAGCAAUAAAAAUCUGCCUCCAUCGUGGUU